rnacentral:rRNA from 1 species
AUGAACGCUAGCUACAGGCUUAACACAUGCAAGUCGAGGGGCAGCAUGGUCUUAGCUUGCUAAGGCCGAUGGCGACCGGCGCACGGGUGAGUAACACGUAUCCAACCUGCCGUCUACUCUUGGACAGCCUUCUGAAAGGAAGAUUAAUACAAGAUGGCAUCAUGAGUCCGCAUGUUCACAUGAUUAAAGGUAUUCCGGUAGACGAUGGGGAUGCGUUCCAUUAGAUAGUAGGCGGGGUAACGGCCCACCUAGUCUUCGAUGGAUAGGGGUUCUGAGAGGAAGGUCCCCCACAUUGGAACUGAGACACGGUCCAAACUCCUACGGGAGGCAGCAGUGAGGAAUAUUGGUCAAUGGGCGAGAGCCUGAACCAGCCAAGUAGCGUGAAGGAUGACUGCCCUAUGGGUUGUAAACUUCUUUUAUAAAGGAAUAAAGUCGGGUAUGGAUACCCGUUUGCAUGUACUUUAUGAAUAAGGAUCGGCUAACUCCGUGCCAGCAGCCGCGGUAAUACGGAGGAUCCGAGCGUUAUCCGGAUUUAUUGGGUUUAAAGGGAGCGUAGAUGGAUGUUUAAGUCAGUUGUGAAAGUUUGCGGCUCAACCGUAAAAUUGCAGUUGAUACUGGAUAUCUUGAGUGCAGUUGAGGCAGGCGGAAUUCGUGGUGUAGCGGUGAAAUGCUUAGAUAUCACGAAGAACUCCGAUUGCGAAGGCAGCCUGCUAAGCUGCAACUGACAUUGAGGCUCGAAAGUGUGGGUAUCAAACAGGAUUAGAUACCCUGGUAGUCCACACGGUAAACGAUGAAUACUCGCUGUUUGCGAUAUACAGCAAGCGGCCAAGCGAAAGCGUUAAGUAUUCCACCUGGGGAGUACGCCGGCAACGGUGAAACUCAAAGGAAUUGACGGGGGCCCGCACAAGCGGAGGAACAUGUGGUUUAAUUCGAUGAUACGCGAGGAACCUUACCCGGGCUUAAAUUGCAGAUGAAUUACGGUGAAAGCCGUAAGCCGCAAGGCAUCUGUGAAGGUGCUGCAUGGUUGUCGUCAGCUCGUGCCGUGAGGUGUCGGCUUAAGUGCCAUAACGAGCGCAACCCUUAUCUUUAGUUACUAACAGGUCAUGCUGAGGACUCUAGAGAGACUGCCGUCGUAAGAUGUGAGGAAGGUGGGGAUGACGUCAAAUCAGCACGGCCCUUACGUCCGGGGCUACACACGUGUUACAAUGGGGGGUACAGAGGGCCGCUACCACGCGAGUGGAUGCCAAUCCCCAAAACCUCUCUCAGUUCGGACUGGAGUCUGCAACCCGACUCCACGAAGCUGGAUUCGCUAGUAAUCGCGCAUCAGCCACGGCGCGGUGAAUACGUUCCCGGGCCUUGUACACACCGCCCGUCACACCAUGGGAGUUGGGAGUGCCCAAAGCCGGUGAGGCAACCGCAAGGAGCCAGCCGUCUAAGGCAAGACCAAUGACUGGGGUG